GGUAGUUCUAGGGUGAUGCACCCCAGAAUUGCGCUCCCCCCUCUCUGGUUCCAGGUAUGUCACCUGAGAACUGCA
rfam:Myotis davidii contig322188, whole genome shotgun sequence.